GCUACUGUGGCUCAGGGGUAGAGCAGCUCACUCGUAAUGAGCAGGUCGCCGGUUGUC
rnacentral:tRNA from 1 species